rnacentral:lncRNA from 1 species
GCAGCUCCUCGUCCGACUUGAGUGGUCCUGUCUGGUGUGAACCGUCAGCACAGAUGGCCUCCUGGAGCUUCCCCGAGUCGUUCGCUGGGGGAAGCGGGCGGUGAGCGGCCAGCCCGGGCGCUCCGCAGGCCGCGAGCUCCCGGCAGGGCUGGUGGCGGGGGUCCGCCUGGGGGAGGAAUCCCCGCCUGCUCCAUCGGACCCGGCCUGGCGCGGCUCGCGGCGCUCGGCGGGCUCCCUUCCAUUCUAGAAUCUUCCCGCUUGCUUCCCAGCCCGCGUUCUUCCGCCUGCCUUUAAUUGUAAUUUACAGGAUUAAGGAGUUUGGGGAAGUCGCAGAGCUGCAGCGGAAAGGCAGGGGUCUGAGACUACUUUUGAGAAGAGAAACAACGCAAAACGAUCGCUGGAGGGCCAGAGCCCUGGUCGAAGGUGCCCUAGCUUUUAUGACCUGGUUAAUUGUGUCUCCUUUUUAUUUUUAUUUUUUUCCUUACCACUACUACUACUACUACUUUUAUUUUUUUUUAACCGAUACACUUUGGAGAGAAGAAGCAGACACAGGUUCCCACGGCGUCUGACGCCUGCGGAGCAAGUCCAGAGCCAGCUGGACUCGCAGCCUCUGGCCCGGCGGCACCAACUCCUCACUGGGUCAUUUUGAGCGCGCUGUGCCCACCUUUUCUGUUGCGUGUGGACGUGGGGAGGAUCUUCUAAGUCCCUCCAACGAAGGCAAGUGUGAGACUCUGGCCCUUUAUUUGUAAGAAGCAAGCCUUCAGAUUGCAGAAGUGUCGCGCGGGUCGCCGUGCGUUGCGCGAGUGGGAAGAUGGAGGAGGCCGGCACGCUGCUUUCGUGGACGCAAGUGAACCGGGCGUGAAGGCAGGGUGCGAGCUCUGCCCUUGGCCCAGCCCUGCGUGGGCGCCGUCCCAGAUUCCGGGCGGUGCGGGGUGCAGAGAUCUGGAGAGACUUGCGGGCUCCCCAGCGCAGGCUGCUCUGGGAUUUCGUUGGAAGAUCCGGCAGAGCCUUGGAGGAGAGGGCCCGGGAGGCUGUGUGUGCAGCGGAAACUUGUACGAAUGCCCCCACAGCGGAAAUGGUGCGCACGAGUAAUUUCUGCGGUGCACCCUUUUAAAAAUUGACAAGUGAACAAGAUCAAUUUUUUAAGAAAGCAAAGGUAGAAAACAAAAGGCGUGCGACUUCUUGACUGGCUUGUUCCCGCCUUUCUUCCUUCUCUAUACUCAGAUCAGAAACUUUUCUUUAAUUGCUCUUAUUCAGUGCGACAACUUUUAAUAAAAGCAUUUGCAUUUUAAGCCUGAGUUGCAACCA